GGAAAGUAGACUGCCUGCAGGAUAAUAGGUGUGUUAGGAGAGGUCUGAAGGGUAAGGGGAUCUCUUGGUCACCCUACACAUGCUAUUGCUCCACUGAGGUUAAUCCAUAGUCCCCUGAAGCCAGUAGGAGUCUUACCAUUGACUUCUUGUUGCAGGUGGGGAGUACCCUGCCACACUAUUGCCUGUCCAUGUCCUACCUAUGUGUGCGUGAAGGGACAUAGCAGCUCUCUCCUAUUCCCCAGCACAGCUGCACAAGCCAGCCCAUUAUUUGGCACUAGAAUGCUACAGCCUGCCUCAUCCAUGGGUUACAUCAUGAGAGAACAUUGCUCCUGUGCUCUAGUCUCUCCACUGACUCCCAUGCUGCUAAUGACGAUCAGGUCCAAACUACAUUCAAAUCUAUGGGUGGAAUGCUGGUCCCCUUGAAGUCAAUAAUAAAGCUUUGAAAUCAGUGAAGUCUGGGUAUCCCUCCACAUUAUCAUCUAUGAACCACCAAAACAAUUGUGCUUCUUUGAAACAAGGAAAUAAAAAAAUGUAGGAUAAAGUGUGAGGGCUAGAAAAUAAGGAAUUUUCAUUUGAAGUAAUGGGUCUGUGGACUGUUCUUCACUAUGCCACUGUACUAACCUGGGAAAUGCUCAGAUACUAUGGUGAUUGGUGCCAAUAAAAAAUACCCCUCAGAUAGACACAUACAGCAUUUGGAGAGAGAAUGAGCGGAAAUUUUCUGUCAAUGUUUUUGAUGGAAAAUGCUGUUUCUGCAAACUAAAAUGUUCUGAAGGAAAAUUGGUUUUGCUGAAACACUAAUUUUUCAUUGGGUAAAAUCAAAAUGAUAACUUCUUUUGAGCCAGGUCGACCUGAAUGGAAACAUUUUAGUUUGUUGAACAGAAUCAAAACAUUUUGUUUCAUUAAGUUGUGUCUGCCUGAUUUGCUAGGAGGGUGGUAAUGCAAAACUAUUGCGUAACAUGGAUAUGCCUCAGCCAGUUGGACUAUUUGUUGUAUCAUUUAAGCAAAGGGUUUUAUGCUUUCUAUCUAUAAUUUAGUAUUACAGCAUUAUAGUUGCCUUGAAUGUAAUAUAUAUUGUGUUUACAAAUGAUUCUUAAA